rnacentral:piRNA from 1 species
UCNGAACCCAAUGCCCCUUGAGUAGCAG